UCUUUUGGAAAGCUGCUUCCACCCCACCCUUGUUUUAGCUAGUCCUCAAUUUGAUCUGGUGUCCAAGCUCUGCCUCUGGAGUGGAGUCCCGCCUCCUACCUCACUGCUACAAGAAGGAACUUUUGCUGCUUCAGGGAGGCUGUCCUGCUGAGUGAAUUUCACAGGAGCGAUAUGCCAAAAUCAGUGUGACCAUCGUUUCCAUUGCUCACCUCACCAGCAUUGCUGCCUUGAAGACCUCUGGACCUAGGUCAUCGUGUGCACCCCUGUUACUUUAUUAAGACUAGAGUAGAACUGCUAAAUUAAAUGAUGUCAAUGUUUCUUUGAAAAUGUGUAUACAAAUGUCAAAUUCUCUCUAAUAGGUUUUGAAAAUUGUCUCCAAAGUUUUGAAAUAUUUUUUCCUAUUGGAAGUAUGUAAGAUGCUUAUUUUAAAAUUGUCCAUUUAGAAAGUUUCUUUUCUGAUGAAUAAUAAAAUGUGAAAUGUAUAUACAAUGGAAUAUUAUUCAGCCUUUAAAAAGAAGGAAAUACUGACAUAUACUACAACAUGGAUGAGCCUGGAAGACAUUAUGUUAAGUGAAAUAAGACAGGCACAGAAAGACAUAUACUGCAUGAUUUCACUUAUAUGUGGAAGCUAAAAAGUUGAAUUCCUAAAAGUGGAGAACAGAAGAGUGGAUACCAGAGGCUGGGUAUGGAGUGGGUAACCAGGGAGAUGUUGUUCAAAGGACAUAAAAUGUCAAUUAGAGGAGGAAUAAGUUCAACCGAUCUAUUGUAUGCCACGGUGACUAUAGUUAAUAACAAUAUAUUGUAUCCUUGAAAUCAUUAAGAGCAUAGAUUUGAAGUAUUCUUAACACAAAAAAGUAUGCGAGAUAAUGCAUUUGCUAAUUAGCACUGUUUAGUCAUUCCACAAUGUAUACAUAUUUCAAAACAUCAUGUUGUACACAAUAAAUAUAUACAACUUUUGUCAACUAAAAACUAUUUUAAAAAAAGAAAAGAAAAAAUCCUUUUCUGUAUCAAAAUACUUUAUUUUUGUGACAGUUUGAUACUUUUUCUCCAGCAAUUAUUCUUUGUAACAGUUUACCCACUGACAGACUUUUUAAAUUCCUGGUUAUUCCUGAGUAAUUUAUGCAGUGAAAAUAUUUCUUUUAAUCAAAACAAAGAUAUUUGUCCUCCGAAUUGUAUUUUCAAAGAAGCAACCAUUUUUUGAACUAAAUAUAUUUUAUUUAAAGUUCUAGUCGAGCAGCUUUACAGUACCUAACAAAAUUCCACCACAGAAUGAACGCAUAACACACAUUGAACAAUUAAUAUAUUUGAAUAUUCUCCAAAAAACCAAAACAAACAAACAAAAAAGGUUUUCUUGACUAGGAAAAGGCCAUCUCUGACACCACUUCUGGGCUUCAAAAUUGAGAUUGCAGAGCUCUGUUAAUCCCUCAACAUUUGGGCAGAAUUGGUAAAGAUUUGCUUUGGAUUUUUUUUUUCUUUUCUUUUCUUUUCUUUUCUUUUUUUUCUUUUUUGAGACAGGGUCUCACUGUGUUGCCCAGGCUUGAGUUCAGUGGAGCAGUAGAGUGAUCAUGGCUCACUGCAGCCUUGAACACCUGGGCUCAGGCAAUCUACCUGCUCCAGCCUCCCAAGUAUCUGGGACUACAGGUGUGCUCCACCAUGCCCAGCUGUUAUUUAUUUAUUUGUCUCACUAUGUUGUCCAGGCUAAUCUGGUACUCCUGGGUUCAGUGAUCCUCCUACCUUGGCCUCCCAAAGUGCUGGGAUUACAGGUGUGAGCCACCACACUUGGCCUGAUUUGUGUUUUUUAAGGUUCUUACCUUUAAAAAUGUAUGCCAUAAAACAUAAAAAUAUGACCUUUAUAAUUCAGUUUUGAAUAUUUACCGCUUAAAGUUCCAGUUCCAGUAUAAAUUACACUAAAAUGUGUAAAAAUAUAACUAAGUAGAAAUAUUUACAUCAAAUAUAGCAGAUAAAAUAUUACUUACUACAACAUUUAGAUAACCACAUUGAAAUGAAGAAAAAUGUAUACCCUGUUAGACAAGAUGACAGAAGAUAUCAAAU
rnacentral:lncRNA from 1 species